CCCUUAGAUGUUCUGGGCUGCACGCGCGCUACACUGUCGGAUUCAGCGAGUCAUAUCCUUAACCGAAAGGUUUGGGUAAUCUUUUGAAAGUCCGACGUGAUGGGGGUUGAUCAUUGCAAUUAUUGAUCAUGAACGAGGAAUUCCUAGUAAGCGCGAGUCAUCAGCUCGCGUUGAUUACGUCCCUGCCCUUUGUACACACCGCCCGUCGCUACUACCGAUUGAAUGGUUUAGUGAGAUCUUCGGAUUGGUGCCUACGCGGCUUCUCUGAGGCCACGCUGGAUGCCGAAAAGUUGCUCAAACUGUAUCAUUUAGAGGAAGUAAAAGUCGUAACA
rnacentral:rRNA from 1 species